GCCAGCAUGGUACAGUGGUUUGAAUGAUGGACUACAGCUCUGGAGACUAGGGUUCAAAUCCCCACUCAGCCA